GACGAACGCUGGCGGCGUGCUUAACACAUGCAAGUCGAACGGUGAAGCGCCUUCCUUUUUGGUGGGUGUGGAUGAGCGGCGAACGGGUGAGUAACACGUGAGUAUCCUGCUCCCUCCUUCAGGAUAACCGCAUGACAGAGUUGAUAAUACGGGAUAUACUGAGUCUGUCGCAUGAAGAGUGUGGGAAAGAUUUUGUUUCGGUUGGGGAUGGGCUCGCGGCCCAUUAGCUAGUUGGUGAGGUGAUGGCUUACCAAGGCAACGAUGCGUAGCCGGCCUGAGAGGGUGAUCGGCAACACUGGAACGGAGACACGGUCCAGACUCCUACGGGAGGCAGCAGUAGGGAAUCUUCCGCAAUGGGCGAAAGCGUGACGGAGCAACGCCGCGUGAGUGAUGAAGGUCUUCGGAUCGUAAAACUCUGUUAUUAGGGAAGAACAAAUGUGUAAGUAACUAUGCACGUCUUGACGGUACCUAAUCAGAAAGCCACGGCUAACUACGUG
rnacentral:rRNA from 1 species